rnacentral:tRNA from 1 species
UGCGGGGUGGAGCAGUCUGGCAGCUCGUGAGGCUCAUAACCUCAAGGUCGCUGGUUCAAAUCCAGCCCCCGCUA